AUGGAUGAUCCCACUACUCCUGCUAGGGAUGAUCCCGUUAUUCCUGCGAGCCUGGGAAGUUCCGCUGUUCCCAACAAACCCAAAAUCCCAGCUCGGGCCCAGCGGGUGUGGGAAUCCCUGGCUCGGGAUGCGGGGCACACCCGGGCUCUGCUGCUCUGGGCAGGGCGGGACCCGUGGGUGCCCCGUGUUCCGGCAGCAAUUAGUGGGCUGCUCAUUAGGGUGAGAGCCGCUCAUUGGGGUGAGGGUGCAGCCGUUCAUUGGGGUCCCGCCAAGGAGCGCCAUUGCCUUUGUAUGAUUGCUGUCUGCCGUAGGCGUGGGGCAUGCACAGCCACUGUCAUCGCUGCCACUGCUGUCACCAUGGCCACUGUCACCGCUGCCACCAUGCCACUGUCACCACAGUCAUCAUUGUCACCACUGUUCCCAUGGCCACUGUCACCACUGUCAUCAUUGUCACCUCUGUCACCACUGCCACUGUUGUCAUUGUCACCACUGUCACUGCUGACACCACUGACAUCAUUGUCACCAGUCACCAUGGACAUGUCACCACUGUCAUUGUCACCACUGUCACCAUUGCCACCACUGCCACCACUGUCACCACUGUCACAACUGUUACCACAGCCACUGUCAUCUUUGUCAUCAUUGUCACCAUUGUCACUAUUGUCACCAUUGUCAUCACUGUCACUGUGGCCACUGCCACCAGUGUCACCAAUCAGCCACUGCCACCAGUGUCACCAAUCAGCCACUGCCACCCUGUCACCACUGCCACCUCUACCACCAAUGCCACUGCCUCCACUGCCACCAUCUCCGACGUCACUGGCACCACUUCCACUGCCACCAGUGCCACCCACUGCCACUGCCAUCUCCUCUGCUGGCACAGCACGACCAUUGCCACCACUGCCACCACCAGAGUCACCACUGCCACUGCCACCACCCCUGGGACACGGGUCCCUCCUCCCCUGGUGCCACGGGAGGCAGGGGACCCUGUCCUGGGGCUGCUGUGACCAAGCCAAUCAGUGGAAUUUCCAAAGGCCACGGCACUAA
rnacentral:lncRNA from 1 species